rnacentral:rRNA from 1 species
AACGAACGCUGGCGGCAGGCUUAACACAUGCAAGUCAAACGAGAUCUUCGGAUCUAGUGGCAGACGGGUGAGGAACACGUGGGAACAUCCCUUUCAGUUCGGAAUAACGUUGGGAAACUAACGCUAAUACCGGAUACGUCCUUCGGGAGAAAGAUUUAUCGCUGAAAGAUUGGCCCGCGUCUGAUUAGCUAGUUGGUGAGGUAAUGGCUCACCAAGGCUACGAUCAGUAGCUGAUCUGAGAGGAUGAUCAGCCACAUUGGGACUGAGACACGGCCCAAACUCCUACGGGGGGCAGCAGUGGGGAAUAUUGGACAAUGGGCGCAAGCCUGAUCCAGCCAUGCCGCGUGAGUGAUGACGGCCUUCGGGUUGUAAAGCUCUUUUGUCCGGGAAGAUAAUGACUGUACCGGAAGAAUAAGCCCCGGCAAACUUCGUGCCAGCAGCCGCCGUAA